rnacentral:lncRNA from 1 species
AACUAUUUUGACUUUAAUUACAACUCAAUUAUAACUCAACUCACCUAGAUUUUGGAUAUGGAGAAAACCAAUAACAAAUUGAGAUCUAACAGAGUAGAAUGGAGAAAAAAAGUUCAAAAUCUUAUCCAUUGAGUUGUCUGAUCCACUCCAUUAGUGUGACCAAAUAUGCCUUAAAAUAUUUGGUAGAAAAUGAAGGAAAUCAACAAUUACUGUCCAACAAUUAGUUCAGCGGACAAGGGAGAGCCCCAUCCUCAAUAGUAACUUGAAAAACAUUGAAGAUAAGUGAGUUCGUGAAAAAGAUAACACUGCUUACAUCCAUCAACGGUAGAAUUCUUAUUAGAGUUUUAUUUAGAUGGUAGCCAACUUGACUAUCUGAAGAUGCUCAUGAGAGUAUUAGUGUAGAUCUCACCAGCUGAUACGUAGUUGAAAAAGGGUUCAUCAAAGAAUUGACCAAUCCCUUCAUAUUUCCACUAUCAAAAAUUUCAAUUCAUUGGUAUCACUAAACAUUUAUAACAUUUUCCGAGUCCCCCCUGUUACACCCACUCAUUUCUGCUCAAAGUCAAGAAUUUAUUUAAUCAAAGUAAAAAAUUCAACUGAUCAAAGUCAAAUAAGGAUUUUCAUGGGGUCCGAUUCGUAAAUACAAGUACUUAAGGGCCGAAAAUAAAAUAAAAUAGAAAGUUAGGGAUUUAAUUUUCUAUUAUUAUAAUUAAAGGACUGUGUGUUAUAUUAUAUGAAGAAUGGGAACUUGAGAUGCAAUUAAAUAAUGGUUAUUUACUAACUUGGUGUUAUCAGAUGUCCCAGAUGCAAUGUGUAAGAGCCCAGGCUGCCUCAAACUAGAAAAUGGAAUAACACAAUGCAUGAUCCCAAAAAAAUUAGCAAUUGAAACACACGAAAUAAACAACUAUUAGCACAAAUUUAAACCUGCAUCUGUGGGUAACCAUCUCUUGCAAGAAACUCAACAAAUCGAGGAACAACUCCAGAUUGUAUUAGUUCCUCAAUUGGUGGAUUUCGUUCCGAGGCAAAAAACAAAUAAAAUGCAAACAGAAUCAGCUGAAAGAAAAAAGUAGCAAUAAACAGUAAUAAGGUCCAUUUCAAAUUAAAUAGAAUCGAUGAAGACAAUUAAUGAAUUACCUAUUGAAAGAAGUUUGCGAAACUGAGUUGUGGCCUCGAGUUGCAGUGUGCCGUCAUUUGAGCAAACGCCAGCGAUCAUUUCCGGUGGACUUUUUAACUGAAAGAUUGAAAAAUGAAAAGCCAAUAGCACAAAACCGAAGUAUUAUUCGAUCUAGAGCAAAG